GCUGCUGCUGCAGCGGCUGGUCUCUGUGUCCAGGUUGAUAUGACAACAUUCACUAUCUGAUGCUGAGAGAAAGGAAAGAAGAAAGAACACAAGCCUUUCCCACCUACACACCCAGGGAUCCAGGGCCCAGUUUCCCUCCCUGACCUGCUCUCAUGGGAACAGCUGCAGGAGACAGUGAGAGUUGCUGCGUGCUCUGCCCCUCGAAGUCUGUCAUCUCCUCCUGGGUGAAGGCCAUCUCCUCCAUCCUCAGGUACAUGACCUCACCGGGGCUUCUCAGCCCAUCUGAACGGCUGCCUGGGGAGGACAGUGAGUGCGUCACCUCCCUGCUUUGUAGAAGACCUGGGGCCCCAUGAGGACAAGAUGGCAGCUCUGGGCAGGACUGAGGAGGAAGGUAGGGCCGUCCCUACCCCACGGUAGCCCGGCCCAUCAUCCUCCCAACUGACUUACACGGCAGGCUGUUCCUGUUGCUCAGGAGGGUGACGGCAGGGUCAUCCUUGGGGGUCUGGGGUGUGCCCCGGGUCAUGGGGGCCUUGGUGGAGUCUCCGUCAGUGAAGGCCUCCACGUCGGGGGACUGAGGUGAGCUGUCCAUGCGGCAGGCGGUGAGCGCAUUCUGGUACUGCUGCCGUGUGAUCUGGAAGGAAGGGGCGGAAGCUCAGGAGGAGCUGGGCAGAGCCCUCCCUGGAUGUAGUCUGCCUCCCUGAGCUCAGAAGCAGCCCCACUAAGGUGCUUGGGAACGCCUGGCCUUGGUGGCCCGGGAUCUAUGAUCUGGGGGCCUUACCCAAGUUGUACCAGCCCAGCAGUUAAGGGACAAUGAGGGGACCCUUUUGCUUGUUUGCCACCAGAGCUCCCUCUGUUCAUUUUUAUUGGCUCUGGACUCUAGCACCUGGCGGAGCCAAGCCUUCUCCCGAGACCCAGGAGAGGAUGGAGGGCAUCUUCAGUUAGCAGGGUGGUUGCCCACUGAGAGGUUUAAAACACAGGCUUAUACUGUUGCCAAGGACCCUCUUCCUAAGGGGCAGUCAGUGGGGACUCGGCAAGAGCAAGACCCCCAGCUUGUGUCAAGGGCUGAAAUAAGAAACCUCCAAAUGAAGAACAUAAACUAGCAAAACCACCGAUGAAGCCAAUUUAUUACUAUUAUUUUUUUCUGAUGCCUUCCAUAGUCAUAUAGGAAUCCAUCUGAUAAAUCCUUCAUGAAAUUAGUGCCAGGAAUAAGCUCCUUUCUCUAGAUGAAUUAUAUACUUUCUUACACUGGAUGAGAACUCAAAUAUCCACUAGGUUUCCCCUUUUUCCUUUUAUGACCAGGAAGCUCACAAAUAAAUUUGUUUACUUGCAGUAACAAA